UACGAAGGCAGCAGUGGGGAAUAUUGGACAAUGGGCGAAAGCCUGAUCCAGCAAUGCCGCGUGAGUGAUGAAGGCCUUAGGGUUGUAAAGCUCUUUUACCCGGGAUGAUAAUGACAGUACCGGGAGAAUAAGCUCCGGCUAACUCCGUGCCAGCAGCCGCGGUAAUACGGAGGGAGCUAGCGUUGUUCGGAAUUACUGGGCGUAAAGCGCACGUAGGCGGCUUUGUAAGUUAGAGGUGAAAAGCCUGGAGCUCAACUCCAGAACUGCCUUUUGAUACUGCAUGGCUUGAAUCCAGGAGAGGUGAGUGGAAUUCCGAGUGUAGAGGUGAAAUUCGUAGAUAUUCGGAAGAACACCAGUGGCGAAGGCGGCUCACUGGACUGGUAUUGACGCUGAGGUGCGAAAGCGUGGGGAGCAAACAGGGAUUAGAUACC
rnacentral:rRNA from 1 species